rnacentral:rRNA from 1 species
GGUCAAGUGAAGAAGCGCAUACGGUGGAUGCCUUGGCAGUCAGAGGCGAUGAAAGACGUGGUAGCCUGCGAAAAGCUUCGGGGAGUCGGCAAACAGACUUUGAUCCGGAGAUCUCUGAAUGGGGGAACCCACCUAGGAUAACCUAGGUAUCUUGUACUGAAUCCAUAGGUGCAAGAGGCGAACCAGGGGAACUGAAACAUCUAAGUACCCUGAGGAAAAGAAAUCAACCGAGAUUCCCUUAGUAGUGGCGAGCGAACGGGGAUUAGCCCUUAAGCUUCAUUGAUUUUAGCGGAACGCUCUGGAAAGUGCGGCCAUAGUGGGUGAUAGCCCCGUACGCGAAAGGAUCUUUGAAGUGAAAUCGAGUAGGACGGAGCACGAGAAACUUUGUCUGAACAUGGGGGGACCAUCCUCCAAGGCUAAAUACUACUGACUGACCGAUAGUGAACCAGUACCGUGAGGGAAAGGCGAAGAAAGAGCCCAAGGGGAGUGAAAUAGAACCUGAAACCGUAUGCGUACAAGCAGUGGGAGCCUACUUGUUAGGUGACUGCGUACCUUUUGUAUAAUGGGUCAGCGACUUAUAUUCAGUGGCAAGCUUAACCGUAUAGGGUAGGCGUAGCGAAAGCGAGUCUUAAUAGGGCGUUUAGUCGCUGGGUAUAGACCCGAAACCGGGCGAUCUAUCCAUGAGCAGGUUGAAGGUUAGGUAACACUGACUGGAGGACCGAACCCACUCCCGUUGAAAAGGUAGGGGAUGACUUGUGGAUCGGAGUGAAAGGCUAAUCAAGCUCGGAGAUAGCUGGUUCUCCUCGAAAGCUAUUUAGGUAGCGCCUCAUGUAUCACUCUGGGGGGUAGAGCACUGUUUCGGCUAGGGGGUCAUCCCGACUUACCAAACCGAUGCAAACUCCGAAUACCCAGAAGUGCCGAGCAUGGGAGACACACGGCGGGUGCUAACGUCCGUCGUGAAAAGGGAAACAACCCAGACCGCCAGCUAAGGUCCCAAAGUUGUGGUUAAGUGGUAAACGAUGUGGGAAGGCUUAGACAGCUAGGAGGUUGGCUUAGAAGCAGCCAUCCUUUAAAGAAAGCGUAAUAGCUCACUAGUCGAGUCGGCCUGCGCGGAAGAUGUAACGGGGCUCAAACCACACACCGAAGCUGCGGGUGUCACGUAAGUGACGCGGUAGAGGAGCGUUCUGUAAGCCUGUGAAGGUGAGUUGAGAAGCUUGCUGGAGGUAUCAGAAGUGCGAAUGCUGACAUGAGUAACGACAAUGGGUGUGAAAAACACCCACGCCGAAAGACCAAGGGUUCCUGCGCAACGUUAAUCGACGCAGGGUUAGUCGGUUCCUAAGGCGAGGCUGAAAAGCGUAGUCGAUGGGAAACAGGUUAAUAUUCCUGUACUUCUGGUUACUGCGAUGGAGGGACGGAGAAGGCUAGGCCAGCUUGGCGUUGGUUGUCCAAGUUUAAGGUGGUAGGCUGAAAUCUUAGGUAAAUCCGGGGUUUCAAGGCCGAGAGCUGAUGACGAGUCGUCUUUUAGAUGACGAAGUGGUUGAUGCCAUGCUUCCAAGAAAAGCUUCUAAGCUUCAGGUAACCAGGAACCGUACCCCAAACCGACACAGGUGGUCGGGUAGAGAAUACCAAGGCGCUUGAGAGAACUCGGGUGAAGGAACUAGGCAAAAUGGCACCGUAACUUCGGGAGAAGGUGCGCCGGCUAGGGUGAAGGAUUUACUCCGUAAGCUCUGGCUGGUCGAAGAUACCAGGCCGCUGCGACUGUUUAUUAAAAACACAGCACUCUGCAAACACGAAAGUGGACGUAUAGGGUGUGACGCCUGCCCGGUGCCGGAAGGUUAAUUGAUGGGGUUAGCGCAAGCGAAGCUCUUGAUCGAAGCCCCGGUAAACGGCGGCCGUAACUAUAACGGUCCUAAGGUAGCGAAAUUCCUUGUCGGGUAAGUUCCGACCUGCACGAAUGGCGUAACGAUGGCGGCGCUGUCUCCACCCGAGACUCAGUGAAAUUGAAAUCGCUGUGAAGAUGCAGUGUAUCCGCGGCUAGACGGAAAGACCCCGUGAACCUUUACUGUAGCUUUGCACUGGACUUUGAGCCUGCUUGUGUAGGAUAGGUGGGAGGCUUUGAAGCGUGGACGCCAGUUCGCGUGGAGCCAUCCUUGAAAUACCACCCUGGCAUGCUUGAGGUUCUAACUCUGGUCCGUGAUCCGGAUCGAGGACAGUGUAUGGUGGGCAGUUUGACUGGGGCGGUCUCCUCCUAAAGAGUAACGGAGGAGUACGAAGGUGCGCUCAGACCGGUCGGAAAUCGGUCGCAGAGUAUAAAGGCAAAAGCGCGCUUGACUGCGAGACAGACACGUCGAGCAGGUACGAAAGUAGGUCUUAGUGAUCCGGUGGUUCUGUAUGGAAGGGCCAUCGCUCAACGGAUAAAAGGUACUCCGGGGAUAACAGGCUGAUACCGCCCAAGAGUUCAUAUCGACGGCGGUGUUUGGCACCUCGAUGUCGGCUCAUCACAUCCUGGGGCUGAAGCCGGUCCCAAGGGUAUGGCUGUUCGCCAUUUAAAGUGGUACGCGAGCUGGGUUUAGAACGUCGUGAGACAGUUCGGUCCCUAUCUGCCGUGGACGUUUGAGAUUUGAGAGGGGCUGCUCCUAGUACGAGAGGACCGGAGUGGACGAACCUCUGGUGUUCCGGUUGUCACGCCAGUGGCAUUGCCGGGUAGCUAUGUUCGGAAAAGAUAACCGCUGAAAGCAUCUAAGCGGGAAACUUGCCUCAAGAUGAGAUCUCACUGGGAACUUGAUUCCCCUGAAGGGCCGUCGAAGACUACGACGUUGAUAGGCUGGGUGUGUAAGCGUUGUGAGGCGUUGAGCUAACCAGUACUAAUUGCCCGUGAGGCUUGACCAU